UACGUAGGGCGCAAGCGUUGUCCGGAAUCAUUGGGCGUAAAGAGCUCGUAGGCGGCCUGUUGCGUCCGCUGUGAAAACUCGAUGGCUCAACCUCGAGAUGUCGGUUGAAACCGUGUGGCUAGAGUCCGGAAGAGGAGAGUGGAAUUCCCGGUGUAGCGGUGAAAUGCGCAGAUAUCGGGAAGAACACCCGUGGCGAAGGCGGCUCUCUGGGACGGUACUGACGCUGAGACGCGAAAGCGUGGGGAGCGAACAGG
rnacentral:rRNA from 1 species